rnacentral:tRNA from 1 species
GGGCCGGUAGCUCAGCUUGGUAGAGCACCUCACUUUUAAUGAGGUGGUCGCGAGUUCGAAUCUCGUCCGGCCCA